CUCUCUCUCUCCCCUCUCCCCACCGGAGUGUGGUUGGAGAGUCCCUUGCAUGCAUAGACAAUAAAACCUCUUGAUUUUUCAUGAGAGCUGGCUCCUUGGGGUCUUCAUCACAAUGGUGAUCUUACAUUUGGAGGCCCCAGUGAGAUCUGCCCCCCCCCUCGCUGAGGGCAGCCCCAACGGCCACAAAGUGUCUCUUGGGGUAAGUACAGCCAUUCCUUUUAGUUUCAUUUUUGUGAUCGAUCGUUCAUCUUAACUGCCCCAAAUCACUUCUGACCCGUACCUUGCGAUCCUAAUAUAGGGCAGUUUCUUUGGGGGAUGCCCCAAAAGGAUUCUCUUGGGAGUCCAUUUGUCCCUCAGACUCCCAGUUUUUUAGGAGGGGUCUCUUUGCCCUCUCAUUGGUGGUGGAUUCACCGAUCUCAUGUGAGUGUGACCGGCCAGAACGUGUGGUGUAUUUUGUCUUGUUGGUGUUCUCUGUUGUCUCAGUCUUUGUUCUCGUCUCUUUUGUCAUGGGACAAAGUGUCUCAACCCCUCUUUGUGUUACUCUAGACCGUUGGUCAAAAUAAGGGAACUAUAAUAACCUAAGGCCCCCUAACUAUCAUGCCAUGAAGCCUGUUCUGUAUAAGCCUGCCUGCUGCUUUCCCUCCUUUUCCGCCUUCAAAUCUAACUAGGUUAAGUUUUAACUUCCUAAAAGGCCAUAUAACAAAGGUCUGAGGUAAUAGCUCCUGACAACCCCCUUCUCUACUGGGUAGUCAGUCACAAAUUGUAUUAAUUGCAUUAGAUUGUAAUAGCUUCAUUUGUAUCAUAACAAUACCUGUAAGGAUUGAUAUGUUAAUCAAUGCUCUCCUGUGUAAAGAAUUGUAAAAUCUUACCUAAUUGAUAUGUUAACCAUUGUUGCCCUCUACAAAUAACAGUUGUAAAAGGUGCUAAAGUAAGGUAACCAAGGUUGUUAAUUGCCGUUUCAGCUUUGUAGUGCAUCACACCCCCAUCCCCUUCCUUACAUUGUGUGACCAGCAGCUGUUUGUGGAUUUACAAGAUAAAAGCCCUGACUUUUAGCUGUCAGGUGUGCAGUCUCCAAAUUGGCUCCUGGAGGCUGUGUCACCAGGCCUGGAAAUAAAGGCUUUGCUUCCCUAAUUUUAAUUUCUUGCUUCCUUGAAUUUCAUACCGGGAUCUGAGUUAUCACAUUUGGGGGCUCGGUCUGGGAUGAGAGCAAGACCACAGACUCAUUUCUGAACAUCUGAAAGUAAGUACUCUGGAGGGUUUGUUUGGGCCAUGGUAAAUUUGUAAUUUGGACGGGAUGCCCUCAAUUUGCCAGUGGGAACCCCCCGAGGACAGAGUCAUUUGGUUCUUUUUUGGACAAAUUCCAUCCAUCUGAGACUCUACCCCGGGUGGGGAACCGCUCCAUUAGGAAGGGGACACCUUUAAUUUGGGGAGUGAAACCUCCCGAUGACGGAGUCAAUUGUUUUUGCCAUUUGUGACUCUGCCCUGGGUGGGGAACCGCUCCAUUGGUUAAUUUGUUAAUUCCUCCAGAUCCCAAAAUUUGACUAAUUUUUGAGCAAAGGCCAUUUUGCUGCAGCUUGUCUUGUCUUAUACGUCUGUUUGUAUGUCCAUUUGUUCUAAUUUUUCUCCUUUUGGUUACUCCAAAUCUAACUGAACAUUCUCUCCUAGGAACCCCUUCUACGAGCCCAAAAUGGACUACAGGAUUUAGAUAAUUAUGUUCAGAGUUUUUGUAAUUUAGAAUUGUUUGCCUGUUUAAAUUUGUUGCUAACUUACGGGCGUGUUGCCCAUUUCUGUUGCAGGAUCCAUAUGGCUUAUUAGAUUCAAGGUUCAUAGUAAGAAUUAUUUCCUUUAGCUCACCAAACUAUGCAUGAAGCAACCUUUUGUUUGUGUGUUUAAUAUGUAAGUCUUCACCUUGUUUAAUAUGUAAGUCUUCAAUUGAUUGCUUGCAAGCUCAGCAUGCCUUUUAAAAAGAGUAUUUUUCUUUCUGGUUAAAAUGUAAACAUAUGUGCACAUAUACAUGUAUAUUUAUGGUUUUUAAGAAUCAUAUCAACUUUACCAAGUAAAAACCAGGUAGUACUAUGUUUGAGCCAGUUAAAAGGCUACAGUUUUAAUUUUAAAAAUACAGCAUUAUUUAAAAAAUUAUGUGGUAAAAACACAUAAAAUAAUUAAGUAUGUUUUAGACUACUAAAAGGUGACUUCAAGGGUUUUGUUAAGAGUUUUGAUGUUGUCUGAGAAGCGAGAGGAAAGGUAAUUGACUAGUAAUAGUAAAAAGAGGAGACAAAAUAAAAGUGUUUUGUCUUCAAGUAAAAAUGUCUGGCUGUGCCAGAAUGUGAAAAAAAAAAAAAAAAAGAUAAAAGCUUAGCUUGGGUGGUAUAUUGUAAAUUGUAGAAGGCUCAAAAAGAUGUGAAUUUUAUUUGUCUUGGUUUAUAGUACUACAAAUAACAGGUUUGACCAGAAGAAAAUGUGUUCAGAAUUUGACAGUAUUAGAUCAGUUUUGGUAGAAGUAUUCAUAAGAUUGUACUUUGCUGCAAAAUGUUUCCAUUGAAAUGAGAUUAUAGGUAAUACUAGAGAUAAGAUACAUGUGCUAUAAGUAUCUGCAUUGGUGUAAAUAUCUGGGAGAUUAUGCAGCACAACUUUGUUACCUAUAAAAAAGUCCUUUUUUGUUAAGAAUAUAAUUUCAGUAAAAUGAUGGCCUGCUUCGUGACAUCCUGGGAGAAAAAGAAUAAGCAAUGUGCCAUCCAAAUGAAGCCGGCUCUCUGAUCCAGAGUGCCAAAACCAUGUUCUCCUUUUGUCCGACCCCGAUUGGACAUCCAGAGACCCAGAGUCAAUGAUAUUCAAGACUUCUUCAGCUUUAAACCCAGGCACCCUUAUGCCUGAUGAUGACCUGGAGGAAAAAAAGACACCUCUCCAUGAGUGUGCUGACAUCCUUAAACUGAGCAGAACCUACGGGCUGAUCUUACCAACCAGCUUUUGGGACAACUAUUUUAUCGAUGAAAGCAGCUUCAUCCCGAAUGGCAAAUGAAUGGCCAGGGCUGCAGUGACCACCAAAAAGGAGGUACUCUGGGUUAAGCAGGUAGAACCUGGCACCUCUGCCACAAAGGCGGAGCUUGUUGCUUUGACUGAGAGGCUAAAACUAGCCAUGGGAAGGAGGGUAAACCUUUUUAACUGACAGUAGAUAUGCUUUUGCUACUGUACAUGUACAUGGAGCUGUCUAUCAGAGCAAGGUCUCUUAACCUCAGCUGGGACUAAGAUUAAAAAUGCUCCACAGAUUCUAGACUUGCUGACAGAUGUCUGGUUGCCUCAAGGAGAUGCUAUUACUCAUUAGAAGACUCCCAGACAGGAGAUGACACUGUCACCUUAGGUAACAGUUUGGCAGAUCAAGGCGCUCAAAAAAUAGCAACCACAUCAGAGGGGCCAAUUAAGAAAGUAACUGCUCUGAUGCUAAUCCCUCCAACCUUGUCAGAACCAGUCUACACAAAAAAAGGACCUACAGUUAGCAACUCAACUAGGAGUAAAGUCCCCCAUCCCUGGGGGCUGAUACCAGUUACCUGAUAAACAAGUACUGUUACUGGAGGCACUAGGGUGGGAGCUGUUACACUGGGCUCGCCAGACUACUCGUUUAGAGAAAACUAAACUUGUGGAAUUGUUCAGAACUUGGUUUUUUAUUCCAAAAUUCUGCAAACUGACCACCUCCUUGAGCUCCAGAUGCCCACAGUGAUUGUUAGUCAACUUAGCCAAGAGCUCUAUGCUGGAGACCACCCGACAUUAAAAAAUAGUUCCAGGAGAACAUUAAAAAGUAGACUUCAUGGCAUGGUAAAGCCUGAUUUACAGGGGUACUGCUAUCUCUUGGUAUUAAUAAACACUUUUACUGGCUGGGUGGAGGAAUUCCCUACUAAGUCUGAGUCAGCCUUAGUGGUAGUUAAAAGGCUAUUGUAUGAGAUCAUACCUUGAUUUGGCCUCCCACUAUCAAUGGGGACUGAUAAUGGCCUGGCUUUCAUAGCCUGGGUCACCCAAAAGUUAGCCCAGGCAUUAAAAAUUAAUUAAAACUCCAGUAUGCCUAUCAGCCACAAAGCUCAGGACAAGUAAAAUGUAUUUACCAAAGUCUCAAGGACAUUUUAGCUAAGCUAUCUUCAAAAACUGGUGAUAAUUGGGUGAGCCUUCUUCCCUUUGCACUAAGAGCUAGAUGUACCCCAUAUGUUUCUGGAAUUUCCCCCAUUGAAGCCAUGUUGGGAGGCCCUUGCCAUUGGUUCCAAGAUUGCCAGAAAAUAAACUAGCUAAAAUAACUAAUCAAGAUCUCAUUAAGUCCUGACAGACUCUCCAACCCAUGUUGACUUCAAUCCACCAGCUGUUUAGACUAGACAAAAAAACCUGGAUCUGCCUUCAGAGACACCUCUCAAGGUGCCAAUCAAGCCAGGGACUCCAGUCUUGGGGCAAUGUCACCACCGUGACUCUCUCAAACCCCGCUGGGAAGGACCUUUCACCAUGGUGCUCAGUACCCCCACUGCCAUCAAGGUAGCAGAAAAAACUGCAUAGAUUCACUACACUCACGUAAAGCCACUGGAAACAGUGGACAACGAAGGACUUACUCAGUAGACUACAUAGCAGACUGGUAACCCCUUAAAGUUAAAAUUGACUAAGAUUAUGCUGGUCAUGAACUUUUUUAGCUUGCUUGCUUUGAUUUUAAUAACAUUAAUGCCGAUGGCAUCAAUAACAUUGAUGCAUGGCGGUUUUGGUCCCCCUGUAAGCAAAGAACAAUUGUUAAGAUCUUUAUGUGGGAGCUUCUGUUAUUGUGGAGGGGGCUAUAUUACUAAAGGUAAAGACACCAACUGGGGGGAAUUAUACAUACAAUAGGAAACAAGUAUCGAGAUCCUUCCCACACAAAUGAGAAACUGUAUACAUACAGUCUUUCGGACAGAUUGUGAGUGCAAGUUAACAUUCCUUGUAGCUAUACCCUCAGGUACAGGGGGUUUGACUAAAAGGUGGAUGUAAAUGAUAAAGCCCCUGUGUGAUACCUAACAAAGGCAGUCAGUGAGGGCCAUGCCAUCAGAAUUGUUCUUAGUAUUCAAAAAUGCAUUCCUACUGCUAUGACUCUGUACAAGAAUGUAUAGCAUAGAUAGCAAAACUUACUUCACUGCUGAGCUUAUGAGGACAAAGGCUAAAAGGGUUAAAGGUGAUUGGUUGACAUAUUUGACAGUGAUAGGAAGUUCUAUGUAUGCCCAAGCCUCAUGUCUUAACAUGGUUGAUAAUCAGUGAGCUGGAGCAUGGUGGCCCUAUACAUGUGUCUGAUAGGGGCAGGCCACAAGAUAAGAUCCAAAAAAAAAAAAAAAAAACAAACUCUGGUGGUUGAGGAACGAGUAAAGCUGCUAAUAAAAAUAAGCUGCAUAAAUCGUGGGGAGUUGGUCUGGACGCUCAAACUUAUGAUAUUCUAGAGGUCACUCAUAAAGCCUUAAAUGCUUCCAACCCAAAUUUGGCUGAAGAAUUGCUGGUUAUGCAUGGCACAGGGCUCCCCCAUACCCCUUGCCAUCCCCAACAGUGUUUCUCUGGCUACACUGGAGAAACAAGAUUACUUAAAUUUUAGUGCUGGUCCCCCCUUUAGAGUACAACCAGUAGACUUCAAGGACUCUCUCUGUCUCCAAGGAGGUCUUCAUAACGAUACCUCCAACUUUGAUGUGGAGUUCAUCACAUUUACUAAUUUUAGUUCCAUAGUUAAGCAGACUACCUCCUUUAUACUGCCAAAGGACAAGUAUUUAUUUGUGGAGGAAAUAUGGCCUAUAAUUUCCUCCCAACUAACUGGAUAGGGAUAUGUGUAACAGCUGUCCUGUUGCCUGAUAUAGAGAUCCUACCCGGGGAUGAGCCUGUCCCCAUUCCUAGUUUAGAUUACAUCACAGGCCACUCAAAGAGGGCAAUUCAAUUUAUUCCUUAUUGAUAGGCUUAGAGAUAUCAGGAGCCUUAGGUCUGGGGGCAACAGUAGUAGGGGUUUUUGUCCAACAUUCCAACCAGAUUGUUAGUGAUAUACAGAAAUUAUCUAGUACCAUUCAGGUCAUUCAAGAACAUAUAGACUUGUCAGCUAAAGUAGUUGUCCAAAAUAAGAGGGGACUAGACCUACUCCUCCUAAAGGAGGGCAGCCUAUGUGCCACUCUAAAAGAAGAGUGCUGUUUUUAUGUUGACCAUUCAGGCAUAAUAAAAGAUGCCAUGUCCAAACUCAGAGAAAAUAUCAAAACUAGAGAAAAAAAAUACUCUUUGGGGACAUCCUUCUCUUCCCUAUGGCAAGGGCUAGUUCCUUAUGCUGUCCCCCUCCUAGGCCCUUUAGCUGCUUUGCUCUUAUUCCUUACCAUUGGCCCUUGCGUUUUAAACAAGAUUACACAUCUGGUGCGAUCCCAGGUCUCCCAGGUAAAGAUGAUGGUCUUGGGAUACCAAUAUGAUCCAAUACCUACAAAUAAUCUCUAGGAUUAGAGAUCCUCACAAGAAAAGGGGGAAAUGAAGUGUUAAAACAUCCAGAAAACCCCUCUUGCCUUGUCACAUGGUCAGAACAACUAGAUAUUUUGGCCUGAUAGGGAAGUUGUGGUCCAACAUCCUCAAAAAUAAGAGCAUUGUGAAAUAUCGACCAUGCAAGACAGGAUAUGAGUUUUCAAAACACCAAUGCCAUCUGCUUCUGUAACCAAUGCUUGCUUUGUGGUUUUUGGCUUUAUAUACUCUGCACUCCCUUACCCGGGCACUCUCCCCUCUCCCCACUGGAGUGCGGUCAGAGAGUCCCUCGCAUGCGCAGACAAUAAAACCGCUUGAUUUUUCAU